AAACUCCAUUCAUUUGAAUAUUCCCAUUGAUUAAGGGAAAGAGAGGAAAUAUGCUGCAUUACCUGUAGGAGGUGUGCCUGCUUUUGCUAACAGAUGUUCCUGCUUCGUGGAUGAAUGCCUAACUGGUCAGAUCCUUUCCUGGUGAACGCUGGUAUCUCUGAGAUAUGUCAACUUCCAGAAAGGUUUUGUCAAAUGACACAACUGAUGAAGACUUCACGCUCACCAUGCAGUACUGUCCCAAGGAACAGAAGACAAGGGUGGAUGCAUGGAGCAGCCCAGCAC
rnacentral:lncRNA from 1 species